CUCAGAAAAACAUUUAAAAACCAAAAUGAAGAACACAUACAGCAGUGAAUGUGAAGCAACAAAAAUCAAUAAGUGUCAUUCUGGGGGCCCACAACAUCCAGAAACAAGAAAAGACCUAGCAGGUAAUCCAUGUGAAGAGAGCCAAUCCACACUCAGAACAAUCUCCUAAAACCUUCUCCAAUGACAUCAUGCUGCUGCAGCAAGACUCUCUCUGGGGUGCAAAUGAUGGGCAGGCAGAACCAGUGGUGUGGAAAAUUCCAAAGCAGCAGUGAGAAUAAAAGCCAGCAAUUGGACAGUGGACUUGAACCUCUGAGAGCAGAGGCUUCUGCCCCUGCUCUCCCAUCCUUGGAUCCCAGAUCACCACCUCGGACCAUGGACCUCCACCUUGGACCCCAGACCUCCACCUCAGACCUUGGACGUCCGCCUUAGAGGGCAGUCACUUCUGCACCUGCCCUGAUUCCCUGGAAACUCAGACCUCCACCUAGAAUGAGACCACUUCUGUGCCUGUCCUCCCACCCUCAGAUCCUGGAUCUACACCUCGAACAGUGGUCACCUCUGUGCAUGUCCUCCCACAUUCGAGAACACUCCCAC